UCUCUCGCUCUCUUGUUCUGUCUUCUCCUCUCCAACCCACCCCCCUCCUCUCCCCCUCUUUUCUUCCAGGACAAGCUUGUAAACGUCAGAGCAGGGGUUAUUAACAGUGUCUGGUGAACCCAUGUCACCUGUCAUGAAGAGAGCAGAUAGAGCAUAGGGAACAGAGGGAGGCCGGCUCCGGUCAYGGCUCACAUUCUGCUACUUUAUUACCCUACAUUAGGAAUGUACUCUGGGGCCUUCUCACUGUUAUUGUUGGGGGACUGUGUCUGAAGAUCAUAAGAAGCAGCWCACAGUGAAUUAAUGUCUGCCCAAGCACUUAAAAACAGAUUUCUCUUUUUGGUGUAAGGUAUUUGAGUGUAUAGUCAGGGUGUUUGUGUGUGUGUGUGUGGGGGGAGAUGGGGGUGUAGGCCUAUACCGCUCCCUUACAAUCCUUGUAUGUUGCCAGUGACGUGUAACUAUGGGAACGGAGGCUGCCAGCACAUGUGUGACGAUACGGAUGUGGGGCCGGUUUGUGGCUGUCACCAGAAGUACGCCCUGCACUCAGACAGCAAGACCUGCAUCGAUCUGUGCUCUGUUGCACCCCGAAAAUGUCGCCCGGAGUUUCACGAUGACGAUGGUGAUUAUUUCCUGUCUGGGG